rnacentral:rRNA from 1 species
GCCCCAGUAACGGCGAGUGAAGCGGCAACAGCUCAAAUUUGAAAUCUGGCUUCGGCCCGAGUUGUAAUUUGUAGAGGAAGCUUUUGGCGAGGCACCGACUGAGUCCCCUGGAACGGGGCGCCAUAGAGGGUGAGAGCCCCGUAUAGUUGGACGCCGAGCCUCUGUAAAGCUCCUUCGACGAGUCGAGUAGUUUGGGAAUGCUGCUCAAAAUGGGAGGUAAAUUUCUUCUAAAGCUAAAUAUUGGCCAGAGACCGAUAGCGCACAAGUAGAGUGAUCGAAAGAUGAAAAGCACUUUGAAAAGAGGGUUAAAUAGCACGUGAAAUUGUUGAAAGGGAAGCGCUUGUGACCAGACUUGCGCCUGGCCGAUCAUCCGGGGUUCUCCCCGGUGCACUCGGCCAGGCUCAGGCCAGCAUCGGUUCUCUUGGGGGGACAAAGGUCCCGGGAACGUAGCUCUCUACGGGGAGUGUUAUAGCCCGGGGCGUAAUGCCCUCGAGGGGACCGAGGACCGCGCUUCGGCAAGGAUGCUGGCGUUACGGUCAUCAGCGACCCGUCUUGAAACACGGACCAAGGAGUCAAGGUUUUGCGCGAGUGUUUGGGUGUAAAACCCGCACGCGUAAUGAAAGUAAACGUA